rnacentral:rRNA from 1 species
AGGUGAACCUGCGGAAGGAUCAUUAGUGAAUAUAGGACGUCCAACUUAACUUGGAGUCCGAACUCUCACUUUCUAACCCUGUGCACUUGUUUGGGAUAGUAACUCUCGCAAGAGAGCGAACUCCUAUUCACUUAUAAACACAAAGUCUAUGAAUGUAUUAAAUUUUAUAACAAAAUAAAACUUUCAACAACGGAUCUCUUGGCUCUCGCAUCGAUGAAGAACGCAGCGAAAUGCGAUAAGUAAUGUGAAUUGCAGAAUUCAGUGAAUCAUCGAAUCUUUGAACGCACCUUGCGCUCCAUGGUAUUCCGUGGAGCAUGCCUGUUUGAGUGUCAUGAAUACUUCAACCCUCCUCUUUCUUAAUGAUUGAAGAGGUGUUUGGUUUCUGAGCGCUGCUGGCCUUUACGGUCUAGCUCGUUCGUAAUGCAUUAGCAUCCGCAAUCGAACUUCGGAUUGACUUGGCGUAAUAGACUAUUCGCUGAGGAAUUCUAGUCUUCGGAUUAGAGCCGGGUUGGGUUAAAGGAAGCUUCUAAUCAGAAUGUCUACAUUUUAAGAUUAGAUCUCAAAUCAGGUAGGACUACCCGCUGAACUUAAGCAUAUCAAUAAG